AUUGAACGCUGGCGGCAUGCUUUACACAUGCAAGUCGGACGGCAGCACAGAGAAGCUUGCUUCUUGGGUGGCGAGUGGCGAACGGGUGAGUAAUAUAUCGGAACGUACCGAGUAAUGGGGGAUAACUAAUCGAAAGAUUAGCUAAUACCGCAUAUUCUCUGAGGAGGAAAGCAGGGGACCUUCGGGCCUUGCGUUAUUCGAGCGGCCGAUAUCUGAUUAGUUAGUUGGUGGGGUAAAGGCCUACCAAGGCGACGAUCAGUAGCGGGUCUGAGAGGAUGAUCGGCCACACUGGGACUGAGACACGGCCCAGACUCCUACGGGAGGCAGCAGUGGGGAAUUUUGGACAAUGGGCGCAAGCCUGAUCCAGCCAUGCCGCGUGUCUGAAGAAGGCCUUCGGGUUGUAAAGGACUUUUGUCAGGGAAGAAAAGGCUGUUGCUAAUACCGACAGCUGAUGACGGUACCUGAAGAAUAAGCACCGGCUAACUACGUG
rnacentral:rRNA from 1 species